AAUUUAUUUUUUUUAAGCGGUGAACAGAGAGAGGGAGAGGCAGAGAGGGCAAGAGGAAAGCGCUCUGUUCCUCUCCUCCGCCGCCACAACCCCGACUUGCGGAGAGGGGUCGGGCCGAGCAGCGGCGGCGGGAUCAGUCCUUUUCCCCCAGGGAGGCGACCCCGGCUCGGGGGACGGAGGCAGCCGCCGCGAAGAGAGGGCGCAGGAAGAGAGAUGCAUUGAAACUUUACGCGCAAACUUUGGCGUGAGUGCGCGAAACCCAGCGAACGCGGUGCGGGUGUGUGCCUGCCCCGGCGCGGGGAGAGCGGCCGCGGACGGGCGCCGCUGUGGAGCUCGGACUGCCCGGCGGUGGGGGCCGAGCGGCGGCGGGGCGGCUGUGGAGCCUGCGCUCGGCCCGGCGGAGCGCCCACCGAAAACAGCAGCGGGAGCCGGCGGAGAGCCGGCCUUAUGGAGGGGUGAAACCGGAGACGCCGAAGGGGAAACCUCCUUUCUCCAGAGCCCCUAGCAGCGCCCGGCCGGCGGCACCCCAGGAGGCGGCGGCGGGCACGGAGGAGGCGCAGGCGAGAGCGCGGAGGGGCGGCGGCGGGGCGGCGGCGAGGCGGAGCGCGGCGGGCCCCGUUCCGCGGCGUGCGCCGGCAACCAUGAACUUUCUCCUCACUUGGAUCCACUGGGGGCUGGCAGCGCUGCUCUAUCUGCAGAGCGCGGAGUUGUCGAAGGCUGCUCCUGCCCUGGGGGAUGGGGAGCGGAAACCCAAUGAAGUUAUCAAAUUCCUGGAAGUCUACGAGCGCAGCUUCUGCAGGACAAUUGAGACCCUGGUGGACAUUUUCCAGGAGUACCCUGAUGAGGUGGAGUACAUAUUCAAGCCAUCCUGUGUGCCUCUGAUGAGAUGUGCGGGUUGCUGCGGCGAUGAGGGCCUAGAAUGUGUCCCUGUGGAUGUGUACAACGUCACAAUGGAGAUCAUGAGAAUUAAACCCCAUCAGAGUCAGCACAUAUCACACAUGAGCUUCUUACAGCACAGUAAAUGUGACUGCAGACCAAAGAAAGAUGUCAAAAACAAACAAGAAAAGUGGGCACAGAACCCCAGAUCUGACGGUCCUUCCUUCAUACCCCAGACCUGCAGCUUGCAUGACCCACAGCCCUGGCGGUCAUUCCUAAUGUUUUAUCCCGAGUCAGGGAAGUCCCGUCGUGUGUGUCCUACCAGAAUGGAUUCAAGGUGCAGCCCUCAUUCUCCCUUCCCUCUUCCUGGGGUGUUUCUGGUUACUGCAAAAGGCUACCUUUCUUUAUCAUUAAUUUUUUCCUUAAUGCUUGAGUGAGUACUUGCUGGCUUCUUUCGCAGCAGCUUGGGUAGGAACCUGCUGACUAGAGGGAGAGGUUGCAAUAGAGGCCUGAUUAAGGCAGGACUGAUGCCAUGCAGGAUGUGACACUGGUUUUGGUUGGGGGCCUGGGAGGGUGUAAAGGGAGGUGGAUGUCCGAGCUGGAUUUUGGUGGAGGCUUUCAUGAGAUUUUGCACUGGUGACCUGAAGGGGAUUUAAGGCACAAUCUUCCCUUCUUCCCAAAAGUAAAAAAGUUGUGUAUGGUAGAGAAAUAAGCUCUCAUCCUGCAGUAGUUGCAGUAACAGUCACAACUGUAGAACAACAUCAAAAAGAAAGAGUGACCUCUCUCAAGAAGAGGCUCAGCUGGACUGCAUGUGGCUGGAAUAGUGACUCUGCCAUUUAGAGGUGUGGAGUUGAAGAGGAAGGGGGUGAAUAUUGGAAGAUGAAACUGAAACAGACACAGAGAGCAAGCAGGAGAGUGAGAGAACUUCUUUCACCCCUCUCCUGGUGGCUGUAUAUCUCUAGCUGCCUUCCAUCCUGUCCUCCCCAUGGACAUCUUCUGGCUGCACUGGACUGUGUGCAGCCUAUGCUCCUCUCUGUACAGGGCCAUGUCGAGGAUGGUCGAUCUGUGUGGCUCAGUGGUUUGAAGGUGUGCAAGAGUUGGGUCUGUGUGAACUCUGGUGAGGAUGGGGUGUGGGUGAAGCAGCCAGUCCAGACUGUGUUGCAUUCCCUUUCCUCUUCUAACAGCACCUUGCUUGCUCUUUGCUAGUUCCGCACUCCCUGGGGAGGGGAUGGGAGAGAUUGGUGUGCUUUGUUUUUUGCUGAAUUGAAUAUCUUGUUAUAUUGGUGCUCUUGUCCUCUCUUUAGGUCAAUUUUGCUCCCCUCACUGCCUCCCUAUGAUUCCUGACAUGUAGGGUAGAGGCUUGAAGGGAGAUGAUGCUCUGACACUUGUUCCAAUGAGACAGCUUGGAUAGGGCCUAAGAAACACCUAUGGUGCUUUCCCUUUUGUCCCCCUGUGUCCCCUUUGCAGCUCUCUUUCAAGGUGGGCUGUGCCAGGGAACAUGGUAACCUUUGCUGAGCUGCCACAGAGCUGAGGUUCACUUGGCUGACAAAACCUGGUGCUUUGCCCCAGGCUUUCUCCUUGCAUGUCUCUCCCUUGGUCCUGCACUCACAUGGCUGAAGGAGCUGCGCAGGCUCCAGCCUCCCUCCCAUGCUGCACUCUUACUGGGCUUUAGGCCAUGGUUAGUGGUCCAGGCCUGCAGGUCCCAGCCCCUGCCUGUCCCAGCUCCAGCCAAGAAUCAGGAGCAACUGGUGCAUUUUUCAGAAUGGAGACAGUGUCUUGGUUCUCUCUGCUUGUCUGUGUGGCAGAUCCAUGUGAAAGGGGAGGGAAGGGAAGGAAAGGAGGGAAGAUCUGAAAGCUGCUUGCUGGUUGCCUCCUGGGUGUCAUAACUGGGUCAGGCUUCUCUUUCUCUUUUGGUAGUCAGGAUGGAGGCUGCCAAAAAGUAUGUUACUAGACAUCCAGUGAGAUCUCCGAGUUCUCCGAACCACAGACAGGAAGGAGGUGGAGUGGUUGAGCACAGCUUUCAGGCUAGAUAGUCCUCUCCCACACAGCACUGUUGUGUAGAGCAAGUCUUUCCCCUUGUCUGCAGGGCGCUGAGGCCGGCUUCCUUUGCUCUUAUCCCAAGGCAGGAUUAUCACCAGCCCUGCAGCAGAGCUUUUGGAGCUCAGCUGCAUGCUCCUGGGCCUGGUGCUGGGCCUGGUCCUGGGCAGUGUGUCAGGUCAGAGCAGUUUCCCUUUCCUUGGGGAGAGCCCCACCGCUCAGGUCGCCUCUUGUCAGUCAGUGUGUGCCCAUGCUCGUCGCCUGGUAUGGUUGUGUGCACUCACCGCGGCUGCGCGAUGCUUUCACAAAGCUUUCUGUUCCUUCUCACCCCUUGUCCCUCUCCCACCGCCCCUCUCUGGAGGGUGAAGGUACCUCUCUGAGGCUCCAGCAAAUCCACCUCUGCUGGCAGCACCCCUGCUUUAGGUGGUCUCUGCUGAGUGCCCUGGCACUGGCUGUGGGCAGUGGUUGGGGUGCUGGCAGGAGUGCAGGAGGGCCAGUGAAUGUGUGUGUGAGGUGGAGACCUGUGCUUCAGCCCCGGGACUUGCUCUGCAGUCCUGCCUCAUGUGCUUCCUCCAGCCCAGCAAGGCACAUGGCUGUGUUUUUUUUCCUCUUCUUCCUUGCGUUUUCUUCCGUUUUCUCUCUUUCCCUUUCUUUCCUUCUCUCUCUCUCUCUCUGUUUUUUUCUUUUUUUGUUGUUUUUCUUCCAGAAAAUCAAAGCGAGGAAAGGGGAAGGGUCAAAAGAGAAAGCGCAAGAAAGGCCGGUACAAACCACCCAGCCUAUGUGAAAAACCAAGACGGUGAGCAGCGGAAAAGAAGGG